GACGAACGCUGGCGGCGUGCUUAACACAUGAAGUCGAACGGUAAGGCCCUUCGGGGUACACGAGUGGCGAAAGGGUGAGUAACACGUGGGUGAUCUGCCCUGCACUUCGGGAUAAGCCUGGGAAACUGGGUCGAAUACCGGAUAGGACUCCGGACUGCAUGGGCGGGGGUGGAAAGCUUUUGCGGUGUGGGAGGGGACCGCGGCCUAUCAGCUUGUUGGUGGGGUGCUGGCCUAACAAGGCGACGACGGGUAGCCGGCCUGAGAGGGUGACCGGCCACACUGGGACUGAGAUACGGCCCAGACUCCUACGGGAGGCAGCAGUGGGGAAUAUUGCACAAUGGGCGCAAGCCUGAUGCAGCGACGCCGCGUGAGGGAUGACGGCCUUCGGGUUGUAAACCUCUUUCAGUAGGGACGAAGCGCAAGUGACGGUACCUACAGAAGAAGGACCGGCCAACUACGUGCCAGCAGCCGCCGUAA
rnacentral:rRNA from 1 species